rnacentral:rRNA from 1 species
GACAGAGGGUGCAAACGUUGUUCGGAAUUACUGGGCGCAAAGCGCGUGUAGGCGGCUAAGUAAGUCGGGCGUGAAAUCCCACGGCUCAACCGUGGAAGUGCACUCGAAACUGCAUAGCUAGAGUCCUGGAGAGGAAGGUGGAAUGCUUGGUGUAGAGGUGAAAUUCGUAGAUAUCAAGCGGAACACCGGUGGCGAAGGCGGCCUUCUGGGACAGUGACUGACGCUGAGACGCGAAAGCGUGGGGAGCAAACAGGG